CAGGGGCCAAGACUAAUUAGAUCAGCCUGCUCAUUUUGAGCCGAUAAUUGAUUUAAAUAGGUUGCUCAUUUAAAGUAGAAGAAAAGACUGCUAAACAUUUGGUGCUGGGAUUUUUUUUUUUUUUUUUUUUUUCCUUCCCUGCAACUUUCAAUUGCUUGUGCAAUGUAGCAUAAAAUGUAGAGGUCUCCCUUUUCUUUUCUCUCUUUUUUUAAAGGGGCCAUAAAAUUAAUUACAAUAAGUAGGCAACGGGCAGGGGCAGGGGGUUAACUGAUGGCUCUAAUGAGCUGCGGAGCUUUGGGAAAGCUGGACCACUCAUGCUGUUGUUGGCUGCGAGGGGCCAUGGCUUCCAACAGGAGCACGGCGUAAAGAAGUCCUUUGGACUGAUUCUGUCUUCAUGGCAACCAAAGUAACUAAGCUUCAAACAAAAGGAGCCUUCCUUUCGGAAGUGUUUCCUAUCACAGGAAGAAGGGAGUGCUCAAGUUGGUGAGGGGAACUGAGGAGUGCCGCAAUAUCUUUAAAGAUCCAGAGGUGUAGCCUCUCCAUUCCUUUGGGCCCAGUGCCUGACUGCCAUGAAAAACUAUUCAAGAGCACAUGCUAGUGGCCGAAGGUCAGAAUGGCACCUUUGCAGUCCCAUCGCCGACCCACUGAGAGCGCUCCUGUCUCAGAGGAUGGAGGCCUGAGCCAAUGGGUGACAAUGAGGACUGAGCAUCCCUUUGUUAAUUCAGCAUUCUUGUGGCGGAUCAUUUUCACUGUUAAUGACAUACGAGUUGAGUCCCAGGUUUUCCUAUUAACAUGUUGCAUUCCUGUGGUAUAUCUAAUUGAAGUGUUCUAUUAAAAGAGGACCCCACUGCCAUAGAAAACCCUGGAUCUAUGAAGACAUCAAAGACAGAGACCUAAUUUUUCUCUCAAAAAGUGAACCUUGAUUUCCAUUCAAUAUUGAAUUUGAUGCUUAAAAAUUCAGAAGUAUGUCAGAGCUGAAGUUUAUCUAUGCUAUUUUGUACUGGAUAUAUCUACUAGUGUGACAAAUUAGGUGUUUUCCCAGAGUAGCAGUUGUCUGAAUUCAUCUGCAUGAAGGAUACAUACAUGUAUGUUUUCAGAAUAUUGUCAGAGUGGUCUUAGCUUUUCAAAGCAGUUUCUCCUAUACCAUUUUGUUAGGGGAAGCAUAUUGACUGAAACUGCCCACCCUGGCCAGGCACCAUAGUAACUAUUUGCAUGAGUUAUUUUACAACAGGAGGUCCUGGUAAGGAACACAGAACUAAUAAGCCACCACCAACCA